AACGAACGCUGGCGGCAGGCUUAACACAUGCAAGUCGAACGCAUCCUUCGGGGUGAGUGGCAGACGGGUGAGUAACGCGUGGGAACGUGCCCUUCAGUUCGGGAUAACCCAGGGAAACUUGGGCUAAUACCGGAUACGUGCGAGAGCAGAAAGAUUUAUCGCUGAAGGAUCGGCCCGCGUCUGAUUAGCUAGUUGGUGGGGUAAUGGCCCACCAAGGCGACGAUCAGUAGCUGGUCUGAGAGGAUGAUCAGCCACAUUGAGACUGAGACACGGCCCAAACUCCUACGGGAGGCAGCAGUGGGGAAUAUUGGACAAUGGGCGCAAGCCUGACCCAGCCAUGCCGCGUGAGUGAUGAAGGCCUUAGGGUUGUAAAGCUCUUUCGACCGGGACGAUAAUGACGGUACCGGAAGAAGAAGCCCCGGCUAACUUCGUGCCAGCCGCCGCGGUAA
rnacentral:rRNA from 1 species